UGAACGCUAGCUACAGGCUUAACACAUGCAAGUCGAGGGGCAUCAGGAAGAAAGCUUGCUUUCUUUGCUGGCGACCGGCGCACGGGUGAGUAACACGUAUCCAACCUGCCCUUUACUCGGGGAUAGCCUUUCGAAAGAAAGAUUAAUACCCGAUAGUAUAAUGAUUCCGCAUGGUUUCAUUAUUAAAGGAUUCCGGUAAAGGAUGGGGAUGCGUUCCAUUAGGUUGUUGGUGAGGUAACGGCUCACCAAGCCUUCGAUGGAUAGGGGUUCUGAGAGGAAGGUCCCCCACAUUGGAACUGAGACACGGUCCAAACUCCUACGGGAGGCAGCAGUGAGGAAUAUUGGUCAAUGGGCGCUAGCCUGAACCAGCCAAGUAGCGUGAAGGAUGAAGGCUCUAUGGGUCGUAAACUUCUUUUAUAUAAGAAUAAAGUGCAGUAUGUAUACUGUUUUGUAUGUAUUAUAUGAAUAAGGAUCGGCUAACUCCGUGCCAGCAGCCGCGGUAAUACGGAGGAUCCGAGCGUUAUCCGGAUUUAUUGGGUUUAAAGGGAGCGUAGGUGGACUGGUAAGUCAGUUGUGAAAGUUUGCGGCUCAACCGUAAAAUUGCAGUUGAUACUGUCAGUCUUGAGUACAGUAGAGGUGGGCGGAAUUCGUGGUGUAGCGGUGAAAUGCUUAGAUAUCACGAAGAACUCCGAUUGCGAAGGCAGCUCACUGGACUGCAACUGACACUGAUGCUCGAAAGUGUGGGUAUCAAACAGGAUUAGAUACCCUGGUAGUCCACACAGUAAACGAUGAAUACUCGCUGUUUGCGAUAUACAGUAAGCGGCCAAGCGAAAGCAUUAAGUAUUCCACCUGGGGAGUACGCCGGCAACGGUGAAACUCAAAGGAAUUGACGGGGGCCCGCACAAGCGGAGGAACAUGUGGUUUAAUUCGAUGAUACGCGAGGAACCUUACCCGGGCUUAAAUUGCAGUGGAAUGAUGUGGAAACAUGUCAGUGAGCAAUCACCGCUGUGAAGGUGCUGCAUGGUUGUCGUCAGCUCGUGCCGUGAGGUGUCGGCUUAAGUGCCAUAACGAGCGCAACCCUUAUCUUUAGUUACUAACAGGUUAUGCUGAGGACUCUAGAGAGACUGCCGUCGUAAGAUGUGAGGAAGGUGGGGAUGACGUCAAAUCAGCACGGCCCUUACGUCCGGGGCUACACACGUGUUACAAUGGGGGGUACAGAAGGCAGCUAGCGGGUGACCGUAUGCUAAUCCCAAAAGCCUCUCUCAGUUCGGAUCGAAGUCUGCAACCCGACUUCGUGAAGCUGGAUUCGCUAGUAAUCGCGCAUCAGCCACGGCGCGGUGAAUACGUUCCCGGGCCUUGUACACACCGCCCGUCAAGCCAUGGGAGCCGGGGGUACCUGAAGUACGUAACCGCAAGGAUCGUCCUAGGGUAAAACUGGUGACUGGGGCUAA
rnacentral:rRNA from 1 species